rnacentral:rRNA from 1 species
UACGUAGGGUGCAAGCGUUAAUCGGAAUUACUGGGCGUAAAGCGUGCGCAGGCGGUUUCGCAAGUCAGAUGUGAAAGCCCCGGGCUUAACCUGGGAACUGCAUUUGAAACUACGAGGCUAGAGUGUGUCAGAGGGGGGUAGAAUUCCACGUGUAGCAGUGAAAUGCGUAGAUAUCGGAAGGAACAUCAGUGGCGAAGGCGGCUAUCUGGACAACAACUGACACUGAGGCACGAAAGCGUGGGGAGCAAACAGG